rnacentral:rRNA from 1 species
CCCUACGGGGGGCAGCAGUGGGGAAUUUUGGACAAUGGGCGAAAGCCUGAUCCAGCAAUGCCGCGUGCAGGACGAAGGCCUUCGGGUUGUAAACUGCUUUUGUACGGAGCGAAAAGCUUUGGGCUAAUACCCUGAAGUCAUGACGGUACCGUAAGAAUAAGCACCGGCUAACUACGUGCCAGCAGCCGCGGUAAUACGUAGGGUGCAAGCGUUAAUCGGAAUUACUGGGCGUAAAGCGUGCGCAGGCGGUUUUGUAAGACAGAGGUGAAAUCCCCGGGCUCAACCUGGGAACUGCCUUUGUGACUGCAAAGCUUGAGUGCGGCAGAGGGGGAUGGAAUUCCGCGUGUAGCAGUGAAAUGCGUAGAUAUGCGGAGGAACACCGAUGGCGAAGGCAAUCCCCUGGGCCUGCACUGACGCUCAUGCACGAAAGCGUGGGGAGCAAACAGGAUUAGAUACCCCGGUAGUCG